rnacentral:rRNA from 1 species
UACGUAGGGUGCAAGCGUUUAAUCGGAAUUACUGGGCGUAAAGCGCACGUAGGCGGCUUUGUAAGUUAGAGGUGAAAGCCCGGGGCUCAACUCCGGAACUGCCUUUAAGACUGCAUCGCUAGAAUCCGGGAGAGGUGAGUGGAAUUCCGAGUGUAGAGGUGAAAUUCGUAGAUAUUCGCAAGAACACCAGUGGGCGAAGGCGGCUCACUGGCCCGGUACUGACGCUGAGG